AGAACCACAAACGCUGACACUGGGAUUUCAAGAUCAAAAAAGACCACCGAAAAGGACGAUACAACAGAUAUUCAGCCAGAGGAGGACUCAAACAGGAAGGCAUUUCUUUUAUUGAGAAAGACCUGCUUUACAAAGGGCAAAAUCAGACUGAUGAAAAGCAAGAAGGCCAUCUCAUGGGGGAAGACUGUUGUUUCAAGGAGCAAGACGAAACUGAGGAAGGGCAAGACUGCAUUUGUGAAUUCUUGAAUCAUUGGAACCACACAUUUACAGUGCUAGCUUCAGCUGUCUGGAGGACUUUCUCAAUGUGAUGAGCAAAACUGGCAAGUCAAAACAUGGGAACUUCAACAUGAGCCUUUCAUUGACCGCUGGAACUCUUUACCUCUCAACUUUGACUGAAGAGGCAGUCAUCAUGACCUAUUUUACUCUUCAUUAUGUUCCAAACCCCUUAAACUUGCCCUCUCAGUGAUGAUGUUAUUGCCACACUGUUAUAGAUCUACAUUACUGUUUCUCAGUGAAGUAUGCUCUUGCCUUGGAGAUGAAAACAACACAUUUAUCAGUAUGUGUGUUCCCUGGGAAUUAAAACCAUGACCUUGCCGUUGUUAGCACCAUAUUUACCAGAUCAGCUACAAAAGCAAGAAAACAACUGAAAACAACACCAUGAUCACAGAAGACCUACCGACAAACAAGUCUCUUGAGUACCCUUACAAUGAAAACUUUGUGAUAUUUAGUCCCUCCCUAACUGACAUUUGUUUAGUCUAAGUUUAAAAACCGAAAAAGUAGAAAACUGAAAUCGAGUUAUGUUCAUGUAAACUGUGUGACUGUCUGUAUUUAUAUUAUGUCAGUGAUCUCGACUGUAUAUGUAUAACCAUUGUAAACGAGGCAAUAGAAAUGCAACAUCACUAAUGCUUUCUAUCUUAGCACAGAAUGAACCCAGCUUUGAGAUAAGAAAUGGUGGGGGUUAUUAUGAGUGAGCUUAUAAUGUGAAACUAACCCUUUUUCUGUUGGUCAGAACCCUUCUCCACAAUGUCAACUCUCAGUUUCAGUAAAGAUGCUUGAGAUAAAAAUAUUGAGUACAUUUGCCCAGUCUUAUGCCAAGAUCCAAUCCACCUCAAAGAGCUCUUUGGGCUUAGAUCAUAAAACAUGACGACCACAUUGUGACUUAGGGGCCGAAUUCAAACAUGUCUGACUAAUCAGAAGUGCAACCUUGCAUCUGUGAUUAAGUGAUGGUUUUUCUUAAUUUGGUCACUAAGACUAGCAGCUAGCAUGAUGCAGAAGCAUUCCUCAACUGGGAAAGUGGAACAAUGUUCAUAAAUCGGCAGCUCAAUAUGGACUGAGAGACAUGACAAUGGGGAUGUGGGUUUUUGGUGAUUGAGAGUGAAGGAAAUAAUAUGUAAAGGUCUCCUGAUCUCAACAUACCAGAGAACUACAAACACCUGACAGACACAUGGGAGGUUUGAUCUAUAUGACUCUACGUGUCCUAAAGAGCACAAUGUAAUCUGAGCUAAUAUCUAUGAUUACGAUCCAAUUUAAUUAUGCAUUGUUUGAGAUAGCUUUGCUAGCAUCCAUUAAUUAAGAUUCCAAUUUGAAUUUUUUUUAUUUUGUAAUUGUCAAGUUCUUUGUCCUGUGUAACUUGUCUGUAAUUGUUUCAACAGCUCUGGCAUGGCCAAACAAGGGAUGUGGGUAGCAGAAAAAAGUCCCUUGACUUUUUCAGCAAAAGCGUCUUUGUGUUUAUAAUAAUCUGUGAUGUCUGAAGUCCAUUUUUGUCAUUCUUUCUCGUUCAUUUUUUACCAUACUGCAUUAGCAUAGUAUGUGUUAUGCGUGUAACAGUUUCUACAUUAUGCCAUUCAGAUGGUAGAACCUUGGAAAUGUGGUUUUGACCAUGGUGCUGUACGCUUAAUAAAUAUGUGCUGACAUUA